rnacentral:lncRNA from 1 species
GCGGAACGUUCUGGUAAUUAUGAUUGCGAAAUAGCGAGGGGUUCGAUUUUAUUGGCUGCAGACACACGCAGCAUCUUCUUGCGCUCCUCCUUGAGGUGGAUGGGCAGCUAGCUGGAGAUGACACAGGAUGAUGCGCAUCUUUCGCACGCUGGCUCCAAGAUCUCCGCUGCCAGAUGCAGCAACAAAGCUUCUUUGUACAGACAGCCCUGGACACACUUCCAGCAGCAAUUCUUCUUGCAGGAACUGGUGCAAGAACAGGAUUUAUUCGUGGCACAGGAGCAGUUGGUGUCCACUGGGAGUGGAGGCAGAAGAGAGACCAGAGCGGGUAUGUUAGGAGAGAAAGCAGUGACUUCAACAGAAGUGGAGUAAAUAAAGAUGAUCACAGAACUUGGAAGCUGACGAAAUUAAUUUUGGAAAAGAGCUGGCUUGGAGCAUGACAGAAGAAUUCGAUGGAAAGAGUGCUGGGAGCCCAACUCAAGACUGAUGUGUGCUUGGCAGGCAGUCUACCCCCGAUCUCAGUCCUCCAGCCUUUCGGCCUUUUUUCCUUUUUGGAGACAGAAUUGCAUCAUAUGGCAUCCUACACAGUCCUGCCUCAGUCUCUGCAGUGCUGGGAUUGUAGGCCUAUGCCACCUAGCCUUUCUACAAUACAAACAAAUAUGAAAAGAAGAGGGACUUCUUUGGAAAGGAGUACAGGGACUAUGGAAGAGAUGAAAAGAUAAUAUUGUCAGAAAUUAUGCCGCUUUUGAAGAGAUAAACUGAACUCUUGAUUCUGUGAGGUUAUUAAAGAAUAUUAAUUUUCAAAUCACGGUAAAAUCUUGAUUCAGCAACACAUGAGGAUAAUCAUUGUGUCCAUGGAAACCUUGGGAAGCAGUUGAAAGCCUGGUCCCUCUUGCCUGGAGCAUUAACACAACGUGGCUGCAAAGUUAGUCCUUUCCCGCUACCAUCUCCUGAAUACUGGGACUAACUACACGUAUGCACGAACCUGCCCAUCUUUGCCUCUGUUAACAGCUGCCACUGUCUCUUCACGACAUGAUGGCUGACCUAGGUUGGAAGGAACAGAGCCAGUUGGCCAUGGACUGAAACUUUUGGAACUGAUUCUGAGGAGUUAAUGUUUCCAUGAAUAUCUCAGAAGGAGAUGUGGACAAACGAACAGUUAUCUCACUCCUGUAGCUAUCUUUCUUAUCCAGCCCAGGCCCUCCCACCGAGAAGUGGCACUAACCACCACAGGUCAAUAUAAUGGAGACAGUUCUUCAAUUGAUGUUCCCCCUUCCCAGGGGUUUCAUUUGCAAAUGCCUGCAGGAUCCAGAUGGGGGACAUGUGUGAGAUGGCUCCUGGUAUUCAUUCUCUCUCUCUUUCUCUCUCUCUCUCUCUCUCUCUCUCUCUCUCUCUCUCUCAAAGCUGGGUUUUGUGGUGUUUUUUCUUUAUCAGAGAGAUUACCGGAUGCCAAGGGACAGAUGGUGGAUCUAAGAGGAUGGGAGAGUAUUUGAGGCCCCGACCCAUUUAAUGUGCAAAAUGCAUCUAAAGAGAAAGGCUAGUGGGCUGGUGAGAUGGCUCAGUGGGUUAGAGCACCCGACUGCUCUUCCGAAGGUCCAGAGUUCAAAUCCCAGCAACCACAUGGUGGCUCACAACCAUCCGUAACAAGAUCUGACUCCCUCUUCUGGAGUGUCUGAAGACAGCUACAGUGUACUUACAUAUAAUAAAUAAAUAAAUCUUUAAAAAAAAAAAAAAAAAAAAAAGAGAAAGGCUAGUACU